rnacentral:rRNA from 1 species
AACGAACGCUGGCGGCAGGCCUAACACAUGCAAGUCGAACGCCGUAGCAAUACGGAGUGGCAGACGGGUGAGUAACACGUGGGAACAUACCCUUCGGUUCGGGAAUAAACUCAGGGAAACGUUAGAGCUAAUACCGGAUACGUCCGCGAGGAGAAAGAUUCAUCGCCGGAGGAUUGGCCCGCGUCUGAUUAGCUUGUUGGUGAGGUAACGGCUCACCAAGGCGACGAUCAGUAGCNGGUCUGAGAGGAU